CUACGGGAUGCUCCAGUGAGGAAUAUUGCACAAUGGGGGAAACCCUGAUGCAGCAACGCCGCGUGGAGGAUGACGCAUUUCGGUGUGUAAACUCCUUUUAUCAGAGAAGAAAAUGACGGUAUAUGAUGAAUAAGCUCCGGCUAACUCCGUGCCAGCAGCCGCGGUAAUACGGAGGGAGCAAGCGUUAUUCGGAAUCACUGGGCGUAAAGGACGCGUAGGCGGGUUUUUAAGUCAGGUGUGAAAUCCUAUGGCUCAACCAUAGAACUGCACUUGAAACUGGGGACCUAGAGUAUGGAAGGGGCAGGUGGAAUUAGUGGUGUAGGGGUAAAAUCCGUAGAUAUCACUAGGAAUACCGAAAGCGAAGGCGACCUGCUGGGACAUUACUGACGCUGAGGCGUGAAAGCGUGGGGAGCAAACAGGAUUAGAUACCCCCGUAGUC
rnacentral:rRNA from 1 species